rnacentral:rRNA from 1 species
CCUACGGGGCGCAGCAGUGAGGAAUAUUGGUCAAUGGCCGGAAGGCUGAACCAGCCAUGCCGCGUGAAGGUCAGUGCCCUAUGGGCGUUAAACUUCUUUUGUGCGGGAGCAAUAAUGGUCACGUGUGGCCAGACGAGAGUACCGUACGAAUAAGCAUCGGCUAACUCCGUGCCAGCAGCCGCGGUAAUACGGGGGAUGCAAGCGUUAUCCGGAUUUAUUGGGUUUAAAGGGUGCGUAGGCUGUGAGGUAAGUCAGCGGUGAAAUGCCCCCGCUCAACGGGGUGAAGUGCCAUUGAUACUGCCUUG